rnacentral:lncRNA from 1 species
UGUAUCUAUCAGAUAGGAACCUCGUUAGUAGGUGCAUGCAUUGGAUAUAUCUUUAUGUUUAAUAUAUUCGUUUGAAGAAUACGUUGUUAUUUUGUAGAUCUUUUACGAAUAGUCUCUGCAUCAUCCAUUCCCUACUUCCCUACACUUUUUUUAGCCAAUGUAAUGUUAUAUGUUAUAAACCCCCUGCCCCCAAAAACCCCACACAAAUAAAACAAAUCUAGAGACUCCGACAAAAAAAAACAACACAAAAAAGGAAAGACAAAUGUGAUACCGACAUCCUGUACACGUGUUUUUAAAUAAAUGAGAAAUUUCGGAGAGAUUUUGGUAAGACCGGGAUAUCCGGACAUGCCGGAUACAUAUGUACAAGCAUCGUAGGUAUAGUAGUGUCAAGUACUAGGUGUAUCAAUACCAUACAGUAUUUUAUAGCAUGGUCCACCAAAAAAAAAAAUUAACAACAAAGAGCUAUAGGAGAAAUUAAUCCAACUAAAUUAUUUAAAAAAAAAACACUAACAGAUUAUAUUGUCAAACUUUGCCUUAAAUAGAACUCCGAGGGAUUCAAAACGGGAAGUCUCUAAUCAAACGAGAAUCAACUGACAAAAUCAAAAGCUCAA